UAGAGUAUCACUGUGUACAAUGACUAUAAAACAUUAGUUCAAGUUUUGACUCUUGUGUUUUGGGUUUUUAUGGUCUAGCAGAACAGGGCCCCAGAGGUCCAGCUUCCUGGGCAGGUCGUGUUGAUGUAGGAGCUGGAUAAAACUCUCUCUAUGACCUGUACAUCCUUGGAACCCACUGGGGAGCUCAAAGCUACUGCACACUGUUCUCUGCUUAGGGAUGAGCUGUCACCAGGGAUCGAACUCGGGUCCUUGCACUUUCAAGGCAGGCGGUGGAACCACUGAGCUAAAUCCCUGGCUCCAGGGGUUUCUUAAAUGAACUCUCCUAUGCCCUACUCAUUGGACUGUGCACCCCUUCCAUGUCAUUUCAUGGAGCAGAGUGUCCUACACCAGGAAGAUGAAGG
rnacentral:lncRNA from 1 species